GCGAGAGUAGUUCAGUGGUAGAACGCUUCCUUGCCAAGGAAGAGGCCGCGGGUUCGAGUCCCGUCUCUCGCUCCA
rnacentral:tRNA from 1 species